rnacentral:rRNA from 1 species
GACGAACGCUGGCGGCGUGCUUAACACAUGCAAGUUGAACGGAAAGGCCCUGCUUUUGUGGGGUGCUCGAGCGGCGAACGGGUGAGUAACACGUGAGUAACCUGCCCUUGACUUUGGGAUAACUUCAGGAAACUGGGGCUAAUACCGGAUAGGAGCUCCUGCUGCACGGUGGGGGUUGGAAAGUUUCGGCGGUUGGGGAUGGACUCGCGGCUUAUCAGCUUGUUGGUGGGGUAGUGGCUUACCAAGGCUUUGACGGGUAGCCGGCCUGAGAGGGUGACCGGCCACAUUGGGACUGAGAUACGGCCCAGACUCCUACGGGAGGCAGCAGUGGGGAAUAUUGCACAAUGGGCGGAAGCCUGAUGCAGCAACGCCGCGUGCGGGAUGACGGCCUUCGGGUUGUAAACCGCUUUCGCCUGUGACGAAGCGUGAGUGACGGUAAUGGGUAAAGAAGCACCGGCUAACUACGUG